GGCCGGGUUGGUAGGGAGGAGCGAUAUGUGGCCCCCAGACCGGCGCCCCAGCUGACGAGAAGCACAGGGACCCCGGGCCUCUUCACGUGCGUCCACAGGGGGCUCUGCGGGCCACAGAGGGACUCGAGGAAAUACAGGCACAUAAAAAUGGUCCAGGGUGGGAGUUCCGUGCAGCUCGGCUGUAACGAACCCGGCUAGCAUCCAUGAGAACACGGGUCCGAUCCCUGGAUCCGGCGUUGCUGUGGCUGUGGUGUAGGCCGGCAGCUGUGGCUCUGAUUUGACCCCUAGCCUGGGGCCCCUAUGCUGAGAGUGCGGCCCUAAAAAGAACCCUCCCCACAACCCCCCCCCCAAAAAAAAGCCAAACCCAGGGCACUUUCUUUUGUUUUUGUUUUGGCUGUGCCCCUGGCAUGUGGACGUUCCCGGGCCAGGGGUGGAUCCAGCGCCACAGCUGUGACCCAAGCCACUGCAGCAACAUGCUGGAUCUUUAACCCACUGCACAGGGCACAUUCUUGAUCAUAGGUAACCCUUGUGGCAGGCUCCCCCCCCCCCCCAUGGGCUGAGAACCUCCCCUGGCCCUCUGGCUCCACCCGGUCACAGGCAGAGUCUGAGGUGUGUCUGCUGAGGACCGACCAGGUUGGGGCACCGGGGGCCAGGGUGCAGGAUCCAGCUGGAUGAGACUCUGGGAGCAGGAGGAGGUGCCUCUAAGGGGGUGGCCGGCACUGGCCGGCAGCGCCCACCCGCCUGUCCGGCCAUGUCUCUUCCGUUCCACCUGGGCCCCUGCCUGCUCCACUUCAGCCUAACUCAGGCCCACCAGGCAUCCAUAACAGAGGCCACGUGACUCCUGCCCUGCCACCAAACACCCGCCCACACUGGCAUUUGACACUGAGUCAGAGAGUAGGCAGGACGCAGCUGACCACACGUGUGGAAGUCGUUACCACCCCAGGGUCACGAGCCGAGAGAGCCCCCUGGGGAGGGGUGCAUGCCUGAGGCCACAGGAAAGCCGGCCAAGCCACAGCUGGCCCUCCGCCCGAGUCCCCAGGUGGACGCGUUCGCCUCGUAGGGCCCUGGCUCCUGCAAGAGGCGUUUCUGCCUCCACCACAGAGGCGAGGCCGAACCCGGGGUUGGCCUGCGUUUCCAGACGAGACAGUGGGCGCGCUCUGGGGGGAUGUGAUGUGGGUGAGCCGGUCCGGCCGUCGGACUCACCGCUUCCCGUCCCAAGUGAACUUGCCUGGCCUUUGGGGGCGGUCGGGUGGAGAGCUGAGGCUGUGAACUCUGCCGUCCUUGUUUUUCUUGGCAGCCGGGCGCUGGCAGCCACCCUCCACCCUCCAGAGGGGCCUCCGCAUGCGCUGGCCAUAGACUCGGGGCGGGGGGGUGUUGGCCCAGGUCCCACAGACCCUGGAGGUCCAAUCGGGGAGGUCGGAGGCCCUGGGCGCACGGGUCAGAGGGAGGUGUGGCCUGAGCAGGGGCACCUGAGCCCAGCAGGAGGUACUUUGGGGAUCAGGCACAUGGCCCCCGUAGGGGCCUGGCUGACUGUCCGGCAGGGGGACGAGGCGGGGUCCAUGCCCAGGGACUGACUGUCAGCCAAAAUGCAAGGACAGCAGGGCGACCCUUCCCCAGAAAGCAUGCAGCUCUGGGAGCCAGGCAGGGGCUCGGUGGCCCAGCCUCGCAAUGUGUCCCCGGGCCCUCCGCUUCUCCUGCAGACACAGAGUGGCCAUCAGGGGGCCUGGGCCUGGAGCCCCCCUCACUGCCCGCCCCACCUGAUGGGAGUCCGGCUCCCUGGCCGUCAGGGCAAUGAGGCCACCUGGCCUGAGUGGCGGCCGUCGAUGGAGCAGAUGGGACAGGUUCGUGGUUAUCCCUAACUUUCCCACCCAGCUCUGGGACACUGGGCCUCUCCUCCGGGACGCCCUUGCUGGCGAGUGGGGCUGGGUGGGCACAGGGCUGCGGUGCACGAGAACGGCCUCCCUGCCCGCUCGCCGGGCCCCUGCCCAGUUCACUUCCAGCCUCACCCGCAGAAGAGGCAGGUGGCCUGUGCGUUCCGCUCACGGCAGGGUGCGCCUUUGCCUGGCCAGUUCUGGCUGAGAGCUUGCAGGUUUGGCCCUGACACAAGGCCAACAUGACAGACAUGUGAGGCUGUCCCCAGCCCCUGCCCACGCUCCUGCCCCGGACCCUUGCUGCCUGGUGCCGGGAACAGGUACCACAAAGCCUCAGUGCCCUGCAGGGACUGCCCAGCUGCUGGCGUGGCGCAGACCCGUCCUGGGUGACAGACGUUGGAGCACGUUGGCAACCUGGAUUUAAGGGGCCUCGUGAAGAAGACGAAACUCAGGACACUUGGGAGAAACUUUGUGGGUCCUCUGGGGAGACAGUGGCUUGACCAAGGGUGGUCUUGGCCACGGUGACCUUGGCGGAGCUGGGCCCAUGCUGCCGGUCCUGGAUAUGGGUGCAAGCAGCAGGAAGCAUGGUCACUGGGCUGAGUGAACCAGCAGCUCCAGGGGCCAGGGGCUGGGAGGAAGGUGACGACGGUGAAGGGGUGGGGGGUGGGUACAAGGAGCCCUGGAGGAGCCCUAGGCGGGUACAAGGCCUGGGGGCCAUCAGGCGAGGUCUGUGUCCCAGACACCCCCCUCACUAGCCCGUGUCCCCCCCGUGAGGGGAGUGGAGACAGAGGGAAUGCCACUUCAGCAUGGGGUCUCCUGCAGUGUCCUCAGAGCCCCCACUGACCACAGACCCCAUCAGGUUCCAGGGUCCCCAGUGAAGGACUCAAGUCUGGCAGAACCAUGGAGCUCUGUGCACCAAUUCUGGGGUGACCUCAGUCAAGUCUGGGGGUGCUGCUCUGAGCUGCCAGAGCUCCCAGGCACUGUGGACGACAGGCCCACGCAGAGGGAUGGGGGGAAGGGGCCACCGUCUGCCCACGUGGGCCCUGGCCCUGGCUGACCAGCCCAGGGCCCCGCAGCAUGGAGCAUCUAACACGUGCGCUGCGGUCGCCUCGCCUUUCAGUGGGUGAAUCCCCUGCCUCGGCAGAUGGCACACCUGUCCACAGCCCACCGUGACCUCCCCGCCCUGACCCCUCCAUCCCGAUGAUGGGGGAGCCUGGGCCUCUGUCCACGCUCCACGAAACUGCAGUGAGGGGUUCGGUUCAGCUGAAUGGUCCAGGCCUCUACUCCGGGUCCUGUGCGUUUUGCGCAGGGCUCCCCAGCUCCCCACAGGGCACUGAGGCCUUGGCAAAGCUGGGCUUAAAACCUGGUGAGAGGAGCUCCCAUCGUGGCUCAGUGGUUAAUGAAUCCGACUAGAAACCAUGAGGUUGUGGGUUCGAUCCCUGGCCUCGCUCCCUGGGUUAAGGAUCUGGCGUUGCCAUGAUCUGUGGCGUAGGUUGCAGACGUGGCUCGGAUCCGGCGUGGCUGUGGCUGUGGGGUAGGCCGGCGGCUACAACUCCGAUCAGACCCCUAGCCUGGGAGUCUCCACAUGCCAUGGGAGUGGCCCUAGAAAAGGCAAAAAGACAAAAAAACAAAAAACAAAAAAACAAAAAAACACCUGGUGAGCGACGGCGCAGUUCAGGCAUCCUUGGCUUCUGGCGCUGGGCAUGGGCGUGGCAGGGGGCCGUUCCUGGGGCUCCUCAGUCCUCCCCCCAGUCCUGCUCCACCCUCCACAGCCCUCCCCCCAGCCCCCCCAGUCGUCCCCCGUCCUCCUCAGUGCCCUCCAGGGCUCCUCCACCUGGGUUCCUCCCCAGCCCUCCCCCUGGGGCUCCUCUUGGACACAGUGUCCAGAGGACUCGGGGCCCACAACCGGUGAUGAGAGGAGGGGCGCGGGCAUGGAUGAAGCCGCUCGCAGGCCGGUUUCCCUCUUAGGCCGUCACGUGUUGCUUCCAGGGGGUCCUGUGGAGAAUGAGGAACGUCCAGGUGAGGUCAGCUGUGGGGAGAAGCCCCCAGACAGAGGCGAGAGGCACACAGGGUGUGCAGGGACCAAGCUGGAAGGUGAACGGCGGGCUGCUGGGCAGGGUAGGGGCCGGGCCUGGGCCAGGUUGACCAGAGCAGCGAUGAGGAUUUAAAGACGGCUUUCUAGUCUCGCAAAACACGAGAAAGACAUGCCGUGGGAGAAAAAUGGAAAAGCCGGGAAAGUAAAAGUGAGAGAGAAACAAGCCGCCGUCCGGCCACCUGUCCCACGGCAUUAAACGGCACCCGUUAAACGGUGGUUCUGGUCCGCGAGCCCUGUGUGCUUCCCGCUUAAGGCUUCUGGCAGGAGACUUGGUGACAAGGCUGGGGUUUUGGAAGGAUGCUGAGGCCCAAGAAGCUGUGAGGUUCCCGGUCGAGGCAGGCAGCACCCUCUUCCCCCAGCCGGACCCGCCCUCCGCCGCCAGAGCCCCAUCCAUGUGGUGGGUACGCUGAGGUCCGGGUGCACUCCGGGACCCAGGCUCAGUGCACAGACAGCCGGGAUGUGCUGCACCAUCAUCCUCGUUUACGAGCGAAGACACCAUGGCACAGAGAGGGUGAGCCACUGGUCCGGGGUCACGCAGCUCAGGCAGGAGGUCCGAAUUCUCAGCCGGCACUGGGAAUAAGCACUCAGAAUGGGUGUGACGGGGAGUUCCCGUCGUGGCGCAGUGGUUAACAAAUCCGACUAGGAACCAUGAGGUUGCGGGUUUGAUCCCUGGCCUUGCUCAGUGGGUUAAGGAUCUGGUGUUGCCAUGAGCUCUGGUGUAGGUGGCAGACGCGGCUUGGAUCCCGCAUGGAUGUGGCUCUGGCAUAGGCUGGGGGCUACAGCUCCGAUUAGACCCCUAGCCUGGGAGUCUCCAUAUGCCGCGGGAGCGGCCCUAGAAAAGGCAAAAAGACAAAAAGACAAAAAAAAAAAAAAAAA
ensembl:lncRNA